GAGAGAGACGGGCGGCCAGGACAGGGGCCGGCUGUUUGCAGGGGAGGCAUGUGUGUGGAGAACGCCUAGGAGCACGUGGGUGGCCACGAACCCUGACCGUGCAGGUCGAGAAACUCUUCCAGGAUAGUAUGUGGUGGAUCGUGUCUGCCUAAAAGGUAUGUCCAAGUCCUGACCCCAGGACCUGUGAAGGUGGCCUGAUUUGGAAGGAAGGUUUUGUAGAUGUCCUCAAGUUAAGAUGAGGUCAUCCUGGAUUACAGUGGGCUCUAAAUGCAAUGACUGAUGUUCUUACAAGAGAAAGGAGAGGGAUUUUUUUUUUUGAGACAGAGUUUCACUCUUGUUGCCGAGGCUGGAGUGCGAUGGUGCGAUCUCAGCUCACUGCCACCUCCGCCUCCCGGGUUCAAGCAAUCUCCUGCCUCAGACUCCAGAGUAGCUGGGAUUACAGGUGUCCGCCACCACACCUGGCUAAUUUUUUGUAUUUUUAGUAGAGAUGGGGGUUUCACCAUGUUGGCCAGGCUGGUCUCGAACUCCUGACCUUAGGUGAUCCACCCAUCUCAGCCUCCCAAAAUGCUGGGAUUAGAGGCAUGCAGCACUGUGCCUGGUCAAGGAGAGGGAAUUUUGGACAUAGAUACACGGCAUUUCACACAGGGAGAAACACCACAUGACAAUGGAGGCAGAGAUUUGGAAUGACAUGGCUACAAGGCCAGGGACACCAGGGAUUGCCGCAGCCACCAGAAGCUGGAAGAGGUGAAGACAGAGCCUCCUGCAGAGCUCCCACUCUGCCAACGCCUUGACUUUGCACUUCUGGCCUCCAGGACUGUGUGUGUGUGGGGGGCUGCUUCUGCUGUUUCAGGACGCCCACCUGUGGUGCCGCCUUGCAGCAGCCCUACAGGGUAACAUGCAGGGAAGUGGGAAGUAAGUGGAGACUUGCAGGAUGCAGAAGGUGCAGGUGAAGGUGCUGAGGAGGGAAACAGCGUUCUGGGCAGAGGGCACGGCUGUGCAAAGGCCCUGUUGCACAGACACUGUGAGUGGAGUUUGAGUGUGGCAUGAAGUGACCUAAUAGAACAGAAUCUGCGAAUGCACGGGGUGCACUCAUGGGGGGAUUGGGGGAGUGACUUAGACCACGCACACAGACAAUGUUCUUCACCCGUUUUGAACAGUGAGUCAAUUCUGCCCAUGAGCAAGUCUUCCAGACUGUUGGGCCCUAGACGAAGAACGACCUGCAAGCCGGGAAUUCUCUGCAAAGGACAAUGUCAAAACUCAUCUGAGGCAUCCAUGUCUGUCCUACAGCAAGCUUCCCCGUGACACUGGAGGGACCUAGGCUCCCGGCAGUUUUCAGGAGCCAGCCCUGGGCUAGGGGCUCCACAGUACUUGCAAACAAAGAGUUCCAAAAACCCAAUUUGCAUUCACCCAUGUAAGAAGUGCCUGAUAAGGAAGUAGCGUCUCUAUUUCCUGGGAUGGGGAUUUUUGCUCUGGGGUAUCAGAUAAUAUUAUUUGUAAGCUAGUCAUCACCAUCCUUCGUUUUCUUCUGCCUUAGCAGAUUCAGGUAGAUUUAUGGCACUGACUAUCACUGCUUUAAAGUUAUCAAAAAUCACUUUAAAAGAAAAUGACGAGAUUGCAGAAAAGUGGAGUUUAUUGAAAAUCUGACUGUGGUCCCUUGAAGUUACUGCUUACAGGAUCAGCUGACUUUGGAGAGAAAGCCAUUAUCAGAAUCAAGCAGCAAAUUACUGGCCCCAGAGUUCCUAGCUUGCUACAAUAUCAGCUGUCUAAACCAAAACAAAGCAUUUUGUUGAAGCGGGGAAAAAAAGGCAGAUCAAAGAGUAGCUCAUCCACGUGUCAGUUAGAUUAGCAUUUGAAAUUCCUUGUGAAUGUAUCCACAUGUUUAUGACAGGCAUGGUGUUCAGCUUUAGCAGCAUUAUGGGGAGUUACGAAAUUCUCUGUGUAAAAAUAGCGAGGUCAUGAGGAAACCACUCUUGCUGUGUAAGUCCUGACAAGCCAUGCCAACACCGUCACGCUGGGACUGGCCUUCGGAUGGCACGGGGAGGGCAGAGUCACGCAGGCACACGUGACACGCCCUUGCUCUGCGGCCGGUGGGAUCCCUGGUAGCUUCGCAGUCAUGUGGGGCUUAGUCACAGGAGCAUAGGUCAGGUCCUGCUGAGCCCCCUUUCCAAGUGUGCGGUGCGCAAGCCGCCCAACCCAGGGGCCGGCAGCUGGGACAGGGCGAGCAGUGGGCUGCAGGGAGGAAGUGGGGAAGGCCUGGGGGCAGACGUGCCUGGGCGAGGGCCUUCCUAUUCCUGCUCUCCCUGUCUGCUCUGAGGAUGUGGGCCCUGACCUCCUUAUCUGUAAAGCCCUGAUGGUGGAUGCAGCUUCCUGGAGCUGCUGUGGAAACCACUGGUUAAUAUUUUACAGGUCGCUGGGUUACAAACUGUCAAGUCAGAGGAACACUACACGCUGGCACCAGCUGCUCCUCUGUAGCCACCCGUAUGUCCCUCCUGAGCCGUGGCAGGGAGUGACACCUUUGCCAAUACCACCAUCCACAGGGUCAACAUGACCCCGGGCCCUGGUCUUAGUAACUAGAGGAAACACACCGACUUCAGGCAUUGCUCACAGCCAGAGCUGGUGUUAACUGAAGAAUGUUUUAAUUCACCUGCCGAGGAACUCACACAUUCCUUGCCAGCAGGCACAAUGGCUCUUGAUAGCCUGUGUGCAGGGAACAAAUGUGUUGGCCCCAUGCUCAGGCCAUGCGUACACAUAAGAGCUGUCGUCUGGGUCUUGGCUAAAAUAAACUGAAUCUUCCCGAAAACACAGGUUCCUAUUACGGAGUCCAUGAUAGGAAAGAUGUUCAGCUCUGCUGCUAUCAUGGGGAAGUAGAGUGGUUGAUCUGAAAUCUCCAGAUUCUAAUCAAGGAGAAGAAUGCUGUGCUGUGGCCACAGACCCCACCGUGGUCUCAAAGAAAACCUGGAUCAGAGCCCAUCUUCUGAUCAGUGCCACACCUUCACAUGGGUGUGCAGCAUUUUACUGGGUGACUGCCUUUCAGAACCUUCUGGAAUUUUCCAGAUCCUUCCAGAUUGCAAUAAAGAAAAAGAAUGCAAUGUGUGGUCAUUAAUCUCAGCAUGGUCCUGCAGAAGAACUGGCUCUGAGCUGAUCUCCUAAGGGGCCCCACGUCUUCACAUGGGUGUGUAGUAUUUUACUGGGCAACUGCCUUUCAGAACCUUCUGGAAUUUUCCAGAGCCUUCCAGGUUCUAAUCAAGGAAAAGAAGGCAAUGUGUGGUCAUUAACCUCACUGUGGUCCCUCAGAAGACCUGGCUCUGAGCUGUCUCCUGAGGGGCCCCACAUCUUCACAUGAGUGUGCAGCACUUUACUGGGCAACUGCCUUUCAGAACCUUCUGGAACUUUCCAGAGUCUUCCAGAUUCUAAUCAAGAAAGAGAAUGCAAUGUGUGGUCAUUAACCUCACCAUGGUCUCACGAAAGACCUGGCUCUGAGCUGAUCUCCUAAAGGGCCCCAUGUUUUCACAUGGGCAUGCAGCAUUUUACCGGGUGAGUCCUUAACUUCGCAGGACACAUUAGAAAGACAAAGGAUGCUAGCAAGUGACAAUUAUAUUUAAAGAAAAGGGCAGGAGACACAGCAUGAAACAGAAUGAUGCAUUGAACAGAACUAGAUUUGGGCUCAGGAGAGCUUGGAGAGCAGCCAGCAUCGACGGGGCGCUUACUAUGGGCUAGGUGCUCAUGCAACAGGUCAGAAGUAUAGCUUCUUAGUCCUGUCUACUGUACAAGGAGGCAAGUGCUAUUAUUAUGCUCCCCACUUUACAGACGUUGAAACUCAUGAGGUUUAGAAAGCCCGAGUAAUGCGUGACCAGCCUGGCCAACACGGCGAAACCCCGUCUCUGCUAAAAAUACAAAACUUCACCGCGUAUGGUGGUGCAUGCCUGUAAUCCCAGCUACUGGGAAGGCUGAGGCAGGAGAAUCUCUUGAACCCAGUAGGCAGAGGUUGCACUGAGGCACUGAGUCGAGAUUGGGCCACUGCACUCCAGCCUGGGAGACAGAGUGAGACUCUGUCUCAAAAAAAAAACAAAACAAACAAAGAAAGCAAGCCCAAGGAACACAAGUCCACACAGCAGGACCUGACACCAACACCAACAGGUCGGAGCUGAGCUGUGCUCCUGGCUGCUACGUGGUUUGUGACUUCACCAACCUGAUGACCUGGUCUUUGGUUUCUUGAUACUUGAAGUCCUGGAUUUCUUACGGAAAAGACCUCCUUCAAAAGGCUAGAGGGUGCUUUCUCCUUCACGUCACAUGUAUGCUCUGAAGACUCAAAAUAUAGUAACAACUCCACAACUCAUUUCCUUCUACAUGAAAACUAUCACAGAGUAACAAUAAAUUAUGAAGAACUAUAGGAAUUUGUCAUUAAGUGAAGUAUCUUUUAAAACUCUGUUAUUAAAAAUGGCAUUUAAAUGAAUGAUUCAAUAAUAAACACCUAGCAUGCAUGGUGUAUGUUAUGAACAUAAGACUGCCACUGAGCUUGCAUUCUGAACUUGAACUUUUCGAGUGUUUUCUGCAUGCCAUUAAAUUUCUACAUGAUAUUUUUGGGCCUAAAAAGAUCAGUAGCCUUCAAAAGGUGACGAUUUAUUAUCACUAGGUAGAGGCCUUAUAAUUUUAUGCCUACAUCAAAAUCAAGAUUAUCCAGGAAGGCUUUUCACAAGGGGUAAAGAACAGGGUUUGAAAGAUGCAAACACGUUGGCAGAACACAUUCAUAGUUCCGUGGCUUGCCUGAUAGAUUGUGACUGUCCUGAAAUUAUAAUAAAGUGUCUGAACUAUUGAUACUUCUCCAGAA
rnacentral:lncRNA from 1 species